rnacentral:rRNA from 1 species
GGGCGUAAAGAGCUCGUAGGUCGUUUGUCGCGUCGAUUGUGAAAAUCUGAGGCUCAACCUCAGACCUGCAGUCGAUACGGGCAAACUAGAGUGUGGUAGGGGAGACUGGAAUUCCUGGUGUAGCGGUGGAAUGCGCAGAUAUCAGGAGGAACACCAAUGGCGAAGGCAGGUCUCUGGGCCAUAACUGACACUGAGGAGCGAAAGUGCGGGGAGCGAACAGGAUUAGAUACCCUGGUAGUCCGCACCGUAAACGGUGGGCACUAGUUGUGGGAACCUUCCACGGUUUCCGCGACGCAGCUAACGCAUUAAGUGCCCCGCCUGGGGAGUACGAUCGCAAGAUUAAAACUCAAAGGAAUUGACGGGGCCCCGCACAAGCAGCGGAGCAUGCGGCUUAAUUCGACGCAACGCGAAGAACCUUACCAAGGCUUGACAUAUAGCGAAAAGUGGCAGAGAUGUCAUGUCCGCAAGGGCGCUAUACAGGUGGUGCAUGGUUGUCGUCAGCUCGUGUCGUGAGAUGUUGGGUUAAGUCCCGCAACGAGCGCAACCCUCGUUCUGUGUUACCAGCAUUAAGUUGGGGACUCACAGGAGACUGCCGGGGUCAACUCGGAGGAAGGUAAU